rnacentral:rRNA from 1 species
AUGCACGCUGGCGGCGUGCUUAACACAUGCAAGUCGAACGGAAAGGCUCCUGCUUGCAGGGGUACUCGAGUGGCGAACGGGUGAGUAACACGUGGGUGAUCUGCCCUGCACUUCGGGAUAAGCCUGGGAAACUGGGUCUAAUACCGGAUAGGACGAUGGUUUGGAUGCCAUUGUGGAAAGUUUUUCGGUGUGGGAUGAGCUCGCGGCCUAUCAGCUUGUUGGUGGGGUAAUGGCCUACCAAGGCGUCGACGGGUAGCCGGCCUGAGAGGGUGUACGGCCACAUUGGGACUGAGAUACGGCCCAGACUCCUACGGGAGGCAGCAGUGGGGAAUAUUGCACAAUGGGCGCAAGCCUGAUGCAGCGACGCCGCGUGGGGGAUAACGGCCUUCGGGUUGUAAACUCCUUUCGCUAGGGACGAAGCGCAAGUGACGGUACCUGGAGAAGAAGCACCGGCUAACUACGUG